AUUUUUGGGAUUAUCUAGUAUAGAAGUUUUCUACCAGUCUUACCUGUGUUUUGCAUGGUAAUGAUUGCUGGGAAAGGAUCCAUUUGCUCUUCUGCAUCAAUGUAAUGAUGUAAGCAAUGUCAUAUUGUGAUUUUUUUCUUCUUUUAUUUCUCUCUCCAUUUGGCUACAGAAAAGCCUCAAAAAUCAUUCUGCACUCCACACCUGCCCAGCACAACAAUCCCCCCAAGAAAAAUGGGGAAAAAAAAACAAGUAAACAACCAGUUCCUUCCUAUGUCAGGUUGCCUAAAUUGCUGUGAAUGAAGUUAAACUUAAGGCACAUAGGAGGUGGACAAAUCUUUCACGCUCUUAUGGAAUCUUUCCCCUGAUAUAAUAGUUGACUUGGUCUUCAGUCUUGCAGUAUGAUUCUAAUAGGAAUGUUGGAGAACUCUCUGGAAAUAGAAACCUCAAGAGAUGACAAAAAGGGAUGCUGUCCCAUACAUGAUCAACUGGCCUCUUCUUUGCCUCAAAGAUCCCAGAGUUCCUUUCAAAGCAAACAACUAAGGCUUAGCUAUGUCAUAGGGGAAUGAUCUGUCCUAGAGCUUCUCCCAGAUUUCUAGGUGGCUAUGGAUAUCAUAUUGACCUGCCUCUUUUAGGGCUGCUCAUAAACCUUUUCUAAGGAGAACAACCUCUGCCAUAAUUCAAUCACAAUAGGAGAAUGGAGAAAAAGGUGACCCACUCUCUCCCUGUUGUCCUUUCAUAAGAUAUGUCUCUUGGGGCUGAUGAUUCCUUAAGGGCUCUUGAUCCAAAACAUGUCCUCCUUGCAUUUUUUUUUGGUUUUAUUUUUGUGUUUUAUUUUAUGUCUGUUUACCUCCUGUUGAAAGAGAGAGAGAAAGGAGAAAAACCUUAUUUUCAUUCAUAUAUUUUUACUUACAAUUGAGAGAUAUAUAUAUAUACAAGGUUAGGAGUCCUAACUACCAUACAUAUGACCUAUAUUAAUAAGGAAAGAUAGUAUACUAUACAUACAUUAUAUUCAACACUCCCCCUCAAGCUGGAGCAUAUACGUCAUAUGCACCAAGCUUGUUACAAAUAUAUUUAAUCCUAGGACCUCUGAGAGAUUUAGUGAAGAUGUCUGCUAGUUGAUCAUUUGAAUUGACAAAACUUGUAGCAACACAUCCUGAUGCGAUCUUCUCUCUAAUGAAAUGACAGUCAACUUCAAUAUGCUUGGUCCUUUCAUGAAAGACUGGAUUGGAUGCAAUAUGUAAUGCGGCCUGGUUAUCACAGAUGAGUUUCAUCUGUUCAUCCUUUCCAAAUCGCAACUCCUGAAGAAGAUGUCUCAACCAUAUGAGUUCACAUGUUGCCAAAGCCAUAGCUCGAUACUCGGCUUCAGCGCUAGAUCUGGCCACUACAUCUUGUUUCUUACUCUUCCAAGAUAUUAGAUUACCUCCAAUAAAAACACAGUACCCUGAAGUGGAACGUCUAUCUGUGGGUGAGCCAGCCCAAUCUGCAUCUGUGUAACCAACAACUUGAGUAUGACCUCUGUUCUCGUACAAUACACCUUGGCCUGGUGUACUUUUGAUAUAUCGAAGAAUACGGAUUACGGCAUCCCAAUGGCUAUCACAUGGUGACUGUAGGAAUUGACUAACAACACUCACAGGAAAAGAAAUGUCUGGACGAGUAAUGGUGAGAUAGUUCAAUUUACCUACGAGUCGUCGAUAUCUCCCGGGGUCUCCUAAAGGCUCCCCCUGUCCUGGUACAAGUUUGACAUUCGGAUCCAUAGGUGUGUCUACCGGUUUACAGUCUAACAUACCGGUUUCUUCCAGGAUGUCUAAAGCAUACUUCCUUUGGGAAAGGACCACACCAGAACUAGAUUGAGCUAUCUCAAUUCCCAAAAAAUACUUGAGUUUCCCCAAGUCUUUGGUCUGAAAGUGGGUAAAAAGAUGUUGCUUUAGUUUCUGUAUACCAUCCUGAUCACUGCCUGUAAUGACGAUGUCGUCCACAUAAACAACCAGAUAAAUACACUGCCCCAAGGAGUUAUGAUGAUAAAAAACUGAAUGGUCUGCUGUACUGCGAAGCAUGCCAAACUCUUGAACAACAGAACUAAAACGGCUAAACCAUGCUCGAGGAGAUUGUUUCAAGCCAUAUAGAGAACGGCGUAACCUGCACACUAAACCAGACUCCCCCUGAGCAACAAAACCAGGAGGUUGCUCCAUAUAAACUUCCUCGGCAAGAUCACCAUGAAGGAAGGCAUUUUUAAUAUCCAACUGAUAAAGAGGCCAAGAACACAUAGCAGCCAUGGAGAGAAGCAAGCGGACAGAAGCAAUCUUGGCAACAGGGGAGAAUGUGUCACCAUAAUCAGAACCAUAAACUUGAGUAUAGCCUUUAGCAACUAAGCGGGCCUUAAGGCGAUCAACCUGACCAUCAGGACCAACCUUAACUGCAUAGACCCAACGACAACCAACUGUAGAUUUACCAGGGGGUAAAACAACAAGAUCCCAAGUGCCAUUAGAGUGCAGAGCAGCCAUUUCAUCCACCAUUGCCUGUCGCCAGCCUGGAUGGGAAAGAGCUUCAUGGGUGCUCUUGGGAAGAGAAACAGAGGAUAUAGCAGAAACAAAAGCAGAAUAGGGUGAAGAUAAUCGAUGAUAACUCAAAAAAUUGUAAAUAGGAUGAGGAUUACGAGUAGAGCGAGUACCUUUCCGAACAGCAAUGGGUAAGUCAUUAGGAGAAGGCAGAGCCGGGGCAGGUGAAGCCGAAGGGAUAGGAAGUGAGUCAGCAGGUGCCUCAGGAAAAGGGAGAGGAGCAACGACACGAGGACGACGAUGAUAAACCUGAAGUGGUCGAGGGGGCAUAGCUUCAGGUGGGGAGACAAUGGGAAUGGGCAAGACUUCAGAAACAGGAAGAGACUCAGAAGUGGUGGAAAAGAAGGGUGAGUCCUCAAAAAAGGUGACAUCAGCGGAGAUAAAGUACCGAUGAGUCUCAAGGGAAUAACAACGAUAACCCUUCUGAAGUCUGGAAUAUCCCAAGAAGAGGCACUUCAUGGCUUUGGCGGAAAGCUUGUCCUGUCCAGGAGUGAGAAUAUGAACAAAGCAAGUACAACCAAAGACACGAGGAGGAAGGAAAUAAAGUGGUUGGUCAGGGAAAAGAAGGGAGUGAGGAAUCUGAUCAUGUAAGACAGAGGAGGGCAUACGAUUAAUCAAAUAACAAGCGGUAAGAACAGCGUCCCCCCAAAAGCGAAAAGGAACGUGACUAUGGAGGAGGAGAGUAUGAGCUGUCUCAACAAGAUGUCGAUUCUUGCGUUCAGCUACCCCAUUUUGUUGAGGAGUAUGAGCACAAGAAGACUGAUGAAGAAUCCCAUGAUGAGACAUAAACGAAGUAAAUUGGGCUGAAAAAUAUUCCCUGGCAUUGUCACUGCGUAACACACGAAUAGAAAUAUUGAACUGGGUUUGGAUUUCAGUAUAAAAUUUCUGGAAAAUUGAGAAUAACUCAGCUCGAUUUUUCAUUAAAAAUAACCAAGUACAUCGAGAAUAGUCAUCAAUGAAAGUGACAAAAUACUGAAAUCCUAAAGUAGACGCAGUCCGACAAGGACCCCAAACAUCAGUGUGAACAAGCUCAAAAGGAGACUUUGCCCGAUUAUUCAAACGCUUUGGGAACGAGACACGAGUAUGUUUCCCAAGCUGACAUGACUCACACGGAAGCGACGACAAAGUGGAAAAACGAGGAACCAUCUUCUGGAACUUGGAGAGACUAGGGUGGCCCAGACGAUUGUGAAUGAGGAGAGGAGCAUCAGUGGAAAUGCAAACUGCAGGAGAUGAAUCUGAGGUGAGGUGAUAGAGGCCUUGAGACUCACGUCCUAUGCCAAUCGUCUUCCCCGUACUCCGGUCCUGCAAGGUCACAAAUUUAUCAGAAAAUGUAAUAGAGCAAUUAAGAGUACGAGUGAUUUUGCUGAUGGAAAUAAGAUUAAAAGGACAUUCAGGAGUAUAAAGGACAGAAGUGAGAGGUAGAGAAGGCAGAGGAAGGGCCAAACCAAUACCUUUAGCCACAGUUUGAGAACCAUUAGCUAAGGUAACAGUAGGUAAAUCAGAGGUAGUAGUAAUAGAGGAGAAAAGAUCCUUAUUACCAGAUAGGUGAUCAGAUGCUCCAGAAUCUAGAAUCCAGGGUCCAAGAGAAGAUGUGUGGGUAAGGCAGGCAGAGGCAUUACCAGGCUGGGCAACAGAGGCAAUAGAAGCCUGAGAUGUCUGAGAUGCGGAGGAGCUCGGAGGCUGAGGCAACAGAGAAUCAGAGGACUGGGCCAUAUGGGCAGUGCGAGGAGGUCUUCCAUGUAACUGAUAGCAACGAUCGCGAGUGUGGCCAAGUUUAUUGCAAUAGGUGCAUUGAGGACGUUGGCCUCUACCUCGGGUACCACUGCGUCCUCCUCGAGAGGUAGUUUGAGAAACUAACACAGAAGAAUCUGAAGCGCUAUCAGAUGUCAAAGUCUGAGUGGACGAGAUACGCAGGAGGCGAGCAAACACAUCAUCCAAGGACGGAACUGAUGAACUGCCAAGAAUCUGAUCACGAAUAGACUCAAGAUCCGGACGGAGGCCAAUAAGAGUAAGAACCAUGAAGAACUUGUCAAGUUGUGUUUGUUGAGCCCCAACAUCAGGAGUAAGAGGCAUCACAGUCAGGAACUGCUCCUUAAGAGAGGCAAUCUGACCAAUAUAAGUAGAUAGGUCCAAGUCCUGUUGGCUGAGAUGGACAAUAGCAGAAGCCACCUUAUAAAGACGCUGGAUAUCAUUCGUGUAUAAUCCUUUGGCCUGAGUCCAAAACUUAAAACAAGUUUUAUAGGCCUGAAGAUGAAGAAGAAUCCGGGGAUCAACCGAUUGCCAUAAUACACUACAUAACUGUGCAUCUAUCUUCCGCCACUGUACGCGGUCAACCUCAGGGAUAUCUGCCUCCUGGGUAACCAAGUGAUCCUCAUAUCCUUGACCCAUAAGCCAAAGUUCAACAGAAGCAGACCAGGAGAGAUAAUUCUCACUGCCAACCAAUUUCUCUGAGGUAAUCAUAGGAGAUCCAGAGAUAACAGAGGUAAAGAUCUGAUUUUUGGUGGUCAUAUUCACGUAUUUGGAUCGAAGAGAGCCCUAAGAUGGGUUCAGAUUUCGGCGGAGAGAGAAAAAAAGUGAAACCACGGCUGUGAGAGGUGCAAUCAAUGGAGAAAAGGUUCGUGACGUGCCUGGAGAGGAAGAGAAGCAGCACCCAAGCCUCGGAGAUGGAGGGGGAGCCCUGUCGGAGGUGGCCGGAAUGGCAAGAAAGCCAAAAACAGGGAAAAAAAUGGAGAUGCAGGGCUCGGGGAGGACUGCCGGGGGGCUAGAAGGCCAAGACGGCGCCGGACGAGCCUGGAGAGGUGUCGGAAGUGGCCGGAAUAUGCCUCACGCGCACCCACGCGCCGGCGCGUGAGAUGCAGCCGCCGACCGAAAAUCGCGCGUGGACGGCGCGUGGCUCCUCUUUUGGUGCUGGUGUCUUCACAAAAGGUGGAGAUCUCCUCCAGGCGCUCCUUCUGGUAUGGUCGGUGUCGGAAAAAUAGGUCGCCGGAAAGUUCGCCGGAAAGUUCGCCGGAAAAUUUCGCCGGCGGUGAGUGGUUUCUAGCGACGAUCCGACUGACCGGAAAGUAUUGGGAGAUGGGAAAGGUGACCGGAAAGAAACACGGUGACCGGAAAGAAACACGGUCACCGGAAGGUUUCCCGGAGUUGAUGACACGGAAAAACAGGAAAGAAUUAGGUUUUCUUCCUUGGCUCUGAUACCAUGUUGAAAGAGAGAGAGAAAGGAGAAAAACCUUAUUUUCAUUCAUAUAUUUUUACUUACAAUUGAGAGAUAUAUAUAUAUACAAGGUUAGGAGUCCUAACUACCAUACAUAUGACCUAUAUUAAUAAGGAAAGAUAGUAUACUAUACAUACAUUAUAUUCAACACCUCCUAACCCCAGGUAAAAAAAUUGGUUCUCCUACAUAUAAAUUUUAAUGUCCAAUCAAUAGUUGGUAGGUUUAUAAACAAGAUAUCUGGUAUGCAACUGCCAAAAACAUGUCCUCCUUGCAUUUUUUUUUGGUUUUAUUUUUGUGUUUUAUUUUAUGUCUGUUUACCUCCUUAACCCCAGUAAAAAAAUUUGGUUCUCCUACAUAUAAAUUUUAAUGUCCAAUCAAUAGUUGGUAGGUUUAGAAACAAGAUAUCUGGUAUGCAACUGCCAAAAAUUUGGCUUAAAAUAGGGCUUAAACAAGAUAUCUGAGAAAUAUUUUCAUAACAUCUUAUGCCUAUCAUUUUUUUUUUGUGACAUCUUUGUUUACUCAGUCUUCCAUGUCUUUAGGAGCUGGCACUGUGGUGUGUCUAUUAGAUUUCAUUGGCAGUUUGGGUAAGGGUAUAAGGCCAUAUAGUACCUCUUGUUUUCUUUGUUGGUUUUUCUGCACUUCGUAUAUAUCCUGCGAACUAGGGUUGCUCUUCUUUUUUUUGCUAGGUGCCAUUUUAUAAAUAGAUUUUUUUUUUGCCCUUACAAAAGUGUGUUAACUUUAUUUAUUGUGAAUUUGAUAACUUCUAAGCAUAAAAAUUUCAGAAGAUAUCCUACUUUAUUUUGAAUCUAUUCAUUCAUCUGCUAUAAAAAAGUACUUUUUACUUUAUUUUUUACCACAGUUUAUUGUGGACAUGGUCGUCCAAUUGUACAGCCAUGUUGUUCUUGGUAGGUUUGUACAUUUAUAUUUCCUGCAUAUUAGAAGACCUAGACAGGCUGUUCCAUUUUUGAGCUGGACUUGAUGUGGUACUAGACAUCAUAUGCUUGAUUGGAUCAUAUGCUUGAUUGGAAUUGAUUUUGUACAUGUUCUCAGAUUGGGUUAGGGUGCAUGUAAAUUGUGCUUCAUGGUCCAUUUUCGAUUUCAUUGAUUGGUUGGGUUGUAAGUAAGGGUUUUUUUGUUUUUUCUCUCCCUUUGGCCUAGUUGCCUUGUAUACUCCGUGUAUACUGUCAGGUGUACUUCAGGCUUUCUUUAUACAAUUGCCUUUUACUUAUAAAAAAAAAAAAUGAUCUGGUUGUAGGAUCUGCAGAAAAAAAAUGUUUAUUUGCAAAUGUUGGAACUUACAAGACUUCCCUUUCAUUGAUCAUGAAAUUAAACUUACCAAAACAAUGUGUAUCUCUCUGAUUAGAAAAAAAAAACAAUGUGCAGCCAAACUUCAAAUUCUG
rnacentral:lncRNA from 1 species